rnacentral:rRNA from 1 species
AACGAACGCUAGCGGCAGGCUUAACACAUGCAAGUCGAACGCCCCGCAAGGGGAGUGGCCGACGGGUGAGUACCGCGUGGGAAUCUACCCAUCCCUACGGAAUAACGCAUGGAAACGUGUGCUAAUACCGUAUACGCCCUACGGGGGAAAGAUUUAUCGGGGAUGGAUGAGCCCGCGUUGGAUUAGCUAGUUGGUGGGGUAAAGGCCUACCAAGGCGACGAUCCAUAGCUGGUCUGAGAGGAUGAUCAGCCACAUUGGGACUGAGACACGGCCCAAACUCCUACGGGAGGCAGCAGUGGGGAAUAUUGGACAAUGGGCGCAAGCCUGAUCCAGCCAUGCCGCGUGAGUGAUGAAGGCCUUAGGGUUGUAAAGCUCUUUCACCGGAGAAGAUAAUGACGGUAUCCGGAGAAGAAGCCCCGGCUAACUUCGUG